AUUGAACGCUGGCGGCAGGCCUAACACAUGCAAGUCGAGCGGAUGAAGGUGUCUCGCUCCUGGAUUCAGCGGCGGACUGGUGAGUAAUGCCUAGGUAUCUGCCUGGUAGUGGGUGAUAACGUGCGUAAACGGGCGCUAAUACCGCAUACGUCCUGAUGUGGUGAGUGGGGGAUCUUCGGACCUCACGUCAGUUUGUUCACCUAGGUCGGAUGAGCUAGUUGGUGGGGUAAAGUUCUACCAAGGCGACGAUCCGUAACUGGUCUGAGAGGAUGAUCAGUCACACUGGAACUGAGACACGGUCCAGACUCCUACGGGAGCACGCAGUGGGCACACUUGGACAAUGGGCGAAAGCCUGAUCCAGCCAUGCCGCGUGUGAGAAGAAGGAGUUCGGAUUGUAAAGCACGUUAAGUUGGGAGGACAAAAAAUAAGUUAAUACCUUGCUGUUUUGACGGUACCGACAGAAUAAGCACCGGCUAACUUCGUG
rnacentral:rRNA from 1 species